GACGAACGCUGGCGGCGUGCUUAACACAUGCGAGUCGAACGGAAAGGCCUGCUUUCCCUUGUGGAUUGCGGGUACUCGAGUGGCGAACGGGUGAGUAACACGUGAGUGAUCUGCCCCCAACUUGGGUAUAAGCCUGGGAAACUGGGUCUAAUUCCCGAUAGGACUGCAGGGUGGUGCCUGUGGUGGAAAACGAUUUUCUAGUGGUUGGGGAUGAGCUCGCGGCCUAUCAGCUUGUUGGUGGGGUAAUGGCCUACCAAGGCGGCGACGGGUAGCCGGCCUGAGAGGGUGGACGGCCACAUUGGGACUGGGAUACGGCCCAGACUCCUACGGGAGGCAGCAGUGGGGAAUAUUGCACAAUGGGCGGAAGCCUGAUGCAGCGACGCCGCGUGGGGGAUGACGGCCUUCGGGUUGUAAACUCCUUUCGACCGCGAGGAAGCCACCUGGUUGGAAGGGUGGUGACGGUAGUGGUAGAAGAAGCACCGGCUAACUACGUG
rnacentral:rRNA from 1 species